UAGCAGUACCUGUGUGCGUAUGGUGACCACUUGCCUUCAUUAGAGAUUUCUGGUCUUGCCAGCACUGCAGUACGCUGAAGUUGCUUUGUCUAAAGCAGUCAAGGAACCAGAUCUUACUACACACUUCAAACAGAGGUGGAAUUUAGGUCCUGUGUGUCACCAGAGGAGACCCAGAGACCUGGGGUUUACACAGAGGAGACAUUUAGGCCAAUUCUAAGUGACAGAUUUGCUUUCUGUAAGAUAUGACUGACAGGCAAAUGGAAUCGAGUCUCGAAUGAGAAAUUUGAGCUCCGUAAGUAAAUCAUUGCAAGGCUGAAGAGUUGUGAAUGUUCUAUCAGUCCUGGUAUUAAUUC
rnacentral:lncRNA from 1 species